UACCCAUGUUGUGGACAUAAAUUUAUGAGAUCCUUAAAUCGCUCCCAACAUUGGAUGGUCUCAUUCUCUUUUUGUGCAAAAUUCAUGAUUACUUUCCUUAGGGU